CACACUGAAUGUGGGAGGAGCUAGGCUAGGGUUGCAAUGAGGCGAUGGUUUUGUGAAAAAUGAGAGAAUGAGACAGGGGAGGUGGUGCUGCUGUUUAUAUAGGUCCUCCUCGUCGCAGGCAGUUAGCUCUUUUCAUUGAUUUGGUUUUUUUUUUGAAAUGUUUAUUGCUGACAUGGCCAAGGAUGUUUUAGAAACAGAGGAGGAGGGAGAGAGUACGCAGAGAGUGGUUCGGAGGAGUUUUGAUUUCGUGGGGGUUGAGAGAAGGCCCACCAAUGUUAGUGGGCUUUUAGAGCCCAUGGAGGGCUUCACUUUCGAAUCAUUCGAGGAAAUCUCCGUCGAUGGAAGGUUGGGGAAAAAUUUUCCGAUGUGGUCCAGUAUCUAUGUUCCAGGGUGUGCCUAAACAGAAGCUCUGAGCUCACUUGGGUUCAUUAAUUUGGUGUAGCUGGAAAUCUUGCACCUCAGCCAAUGUAGACUUUGUCGGAUCCAAUCUCAAUUAUAUGCCAAUGAAUUCCAACUCUUCUACAAAAAUGAGGUGGAGGAUGCAGUUGUGGUUCAUGUCAGUUUUUUUCUCCAUGAGUGCAAUGGUCCUAAUUGGCAAUCUAGAUCAUUUCAAGUCAGUUUGUUGCAAUAGACUGAUAUAUCGUCAACAUCAACAUAGACUCCAUUUCUUCUAGUUGGGCUUCCUUUUUGUACAUUUGAGAAAUGUUCUACAACUUCACAGUUGUUCUGUUAUUGGAGCUAGCUCAAUAUUAUUAUGAUCAAGCUUUGGUAGUGGUAUCUGAAAUACUCCAAACUGGAGAAGCAUCCCUCAUUCUUUCUCUCUCUCAGGCUGGAGUGGGGGUGUGUUGGAUAUCUUGUUGUCUUUCUUAGUUACCACAGAAACAUUGAAUUAGCCAAGCGCACUGAAAUUGCUGUAAUUGUACAUGUUCAACAUCAUGAAAACCUUUGUUUCCAAGGAGGUUUGGUUUUUUUCUUUUAGAUAGCUGAAAUUUGUUGAUACAUUCUGUAAAGGGAACUUUAAUUCUAGAAGCAAGUCCUAAAGUUUCACGUACGGUAGGAUAAUGUUUUGCAGCAGAAGGAGAUUGAUGCUUUAUGUAAUGAAAUUUUUUAAAAGUUUUCUGAUGUGUUGUGUGAACUUAAGGACAUCUUUUAAGGUCAAUA